AGGAAAGGGAGGGAUU
rnacentral:tRNA from 13 species